GGCUACUACAUCCAAGGAAGGCAGCAGGCGCGCAAAUUACCCAAUCCCGAUUCGGGGAGGUAGUGACAAUAAAUACUGAUACAGGGCUCUUUUGGGUCUUGUAAUUGGAAUGAGUACAAUUUAAAUCCCUUAACGAGGAACAAUUGGAGGGCAAGUCUGGUGCCAGCAGCCGCGGUAAUUCCAGCUCCAAUAGCGUAUAUUAAAGUUGUUGUGGUUAAAAAGCUCGUAGUUGAACCUUGGGCCUGGCUGGCCGGUCCGCCUCACCGCGUGCACUGGUCCGGCCGGGCCUUUCCCUCUGUGGAACCUCAUGCCCUUCACUGGGUGUGGCGGGGAAACAGGACUUUUACUUUGAAAAAAUUAGAGUGCUCCAGGCAGGCCUAUGCUCGAAUACAUUAGCAUGGAAUAAUAAAAUAGGACGCGUGGUUCUAUUUUGUUGGUUUCUAGGACCGCCGUAAUGAUUAAUAGGGACAGUCGGGGGCAUCAGU
rnacentral:rRNA from 1 species